rnacentral:lncRNA from 1 species
CUGCUAUCCAAGCUGCACAGGGAAUCGUGGCAGGAAGUCAGGAGUCUGGGCCCGGCCAGGAAGAUCUUUUUAUGGCUCUGGAGAGCAUUCUCAUCCUUACCAAGGAGGUGGCCCAGAGGGUCCCAGUACUCCAAGAACUCCCAGAAGAGUGGAGAAUGCACACCCUGGACUGGCUUCAGUGGGAGUGGGCAGCCAAGGCCCAUUGUGCUGUAGCCCAGCUCCAGGCCUGGAAGGGUGGUCACACGGAGGCCUGGAGCCUCCUGGCCCAGUGCCUGAAACCCAUUGAGGAGACAACAGUGAUGAAACCCAGGGAUGAACAGGACGCUGCCCAGCCCCAGCUCCGCUGUGAUGAGGGUGCAUCAGGAGCUGUUGCAGUGGGUAGUGUGGAUUCUCAGGGUGCUGCCCCCCAAAAUACCCCAGGGAUAUCAGCAGGGACCUGGGCUGCCGAUCCAGCCAUCCCUGGGACAAUCACGGCAGAGCCGGAAAAGGAGCAGCCCGGCAGCCCCACAUCCAGCUCCCUGAGUGCCCUGGCCUGGCUGAACCCUGAGCUGGACCAGCCCCUCCUGGAGGAUGGCGGCGCAGACGGGGGGAGCAGAAUCAUCCAGAUUACCCGCGAGAUGGCCGCAGAGGUCCUCCUGAUGGCUGAGAGUCUGAGGAGGAGAGGACCCAUCUUGGUACUUGGCCUUUUGCCGAGGUGGAGGAGCUGGGCACCAUGGGGGCAGUGCACCCCCAAUGUCUGAUGUGGGAGCUGGGACAGACCAGGCCCGGGCAGCUCCCAGAAGAGAAGGGCCAGGCUCUGGGCUGAUGGGCACAUAGUGCUCUACCGUGCUCCCUUCUUUCUCUAUCUGGGUGUGUCCUAGAGUUCACUGCUCUCUGCCCCUCAUCUUUUGGGCUCAAUCCUGAAGUCUAGGUUUUACUGCACCAGGAAAAGAUCAUUUGUCAGAAACUGCAACUCACUAAAAUCAAGGACUCGUUCGUAUCCCCAAAGGAUGAACUGAAGGGGGCUAUUGACAUCUUUAAAAAAUUCCCCCAGAUAGGGGCGACUGAGUGGCUCAGUGGGUUAAAGCCUCUGCUUUCAGCUCAGGUCAUGAUCCCAGGGUCCUGGGAAUGAACCCCGCGUUGGGCUUCCUGCUCAGCGGAGAGCCUGCUUCUCCCUCUCCCUCUGCUGCUCC